AGUGAACGCUGGCGGUAGGCCUAACACAUGCAAGUCGAACGGCAGCACAGUAGGAGCUUGCUCUUACGGGUGGCGAGUGGCGGACGGGUGAGGAAUACAUCGGAAUCUACUUUUUCGUGGGGGAUAACGUAGGGAAGCUUACGCUAAUACCGCAUACGACCUACGGGUGAAAGCAGGGGAUCUUCGGACCUUGCGCGAUUGAAUGAGCCGAUGUCGGAUUAGCUAGUUGGCGGGGUAAAGGCCCACCAAGGCGACGAUCCGUAGCUGGUCUGAGAGGAUGAUCAGUCACACUGGAACUGAGACACGGUCCAGACUCCUACGGGAGGCAGCAGUGGGGAAUAUUGGACAAUGGGCGCAAGCCUGAUCCAGCCAUACCGCGUGGGUGAAGAAGGCCUUCGGGUUGUAAAGCCCUUUUGUUGGGAAAGAAAAGCAGCAGGUUAAUACCCCGCUGUUCUGACGGUACCCAAAGAAUAAGCAUCGGCUAACUUCGUG
rnacentral:rRNA from 1 species